UACGUAAGUGGCGAGCGUUAUCCGGAAUCACUGGGCGUAAAGAGCGCGUAGGCUGUCCGGUAAGUCGGCUGUGAAAGUCAAGGGCUCAACCCUUGAAAGCCGGCCGAUACUGUCGGACUAGAGUCCGGAAGAGGCGAGUGGAAUUCCCGGUGUAGCGGUGAAAUGCGUAGAUAUCUGGAGGAACACCGGUGGCGAAGGCGGCAUCCUGGACCAAUAUUGACGCUGAGGAGCGAAAGCCAGGGGAGCAAACGGG
rnacentral:rRNA from 1 species